GUAUGUUGCCUGUGCGACGAAGUCUCGAUGGAGCAAUACGCAUGUGAACGAUGAAGGUCUUCUGAUUGUAAAGUUCUUUUAUUUAGGAAAAAAAGCUUGAUAGGAAAUGAUUAAGCCUUGAUUGUACUAAAUGAAUAAGUGACAGCUAACUAUGUGCCAGCAGCUGCGGUAAAACAUAGGUCACGAGCAUUAUCCGGAUUUAUUGGGCGUAAAGGAAGCGUAGGCGGACAAAUUGAUCUAUUGUUAAAGGCACUUGCUCAACGAGUUGUUUGUGAUAGAUAUCGUUUGUCUAGAAUUAGUUAGGAGAUACUGGAAUUCAAUGUGUAGCGGUGGAAUGCGUAGAUAUAUUGAGGAACACCAGAGGCUAAGGCGAGUAUCUAGGACAUAAUUGACGCUGAGGCUUGAAAGCGUGGGGAGCAAAUGGGAUUAGAUACCCCAGUAGUCCACGCCGUAAACGAUGGGUAUUAGGUAUUUGGUCUAGGACUGAGUGCUGUAGCUAACGCGUUAAAUACCCCGCCUGGGUAGUAUAUAUGCAAAUAUGAAACUCAAAGAAAUUGACGGGGACCUGAACAAGGGUGGGAGCACG
rnacentral:rRNA from 1 species